rnacentral:lncRNA from 1 species
AGAAAAACAGAGCUAAGCCAAGGAAAUGAUUUCUUUCCCACCUACAAUGCAUGAAAAGAAAUUAACAUGAAAAGGGUCUGAGGAAGACAUUAAUAUUUUGAUAGUGGCAGAAGAAUGUUAUUUACAAAAAUAAUGACAAAUGUUGAAGAGAAAAUACAGGCUUCCUAGCAACUAGACCAAAGAUAAGAAUAAGAAACCAAGGACAAAGGGAGAGAAUUAAUACAAAUGUCUUCUCUUUAACUAACAGGAGUUUUGUAAAUAAAUAAACAAAUAAAAACAAAAACACAAACAAAAAACUGUGAACGCUACAGGAAAUAAAAUCAAAGCCUGAGGCCCAGCACAGGGCAUUUCAGAUACUUCAUGAAAUGCCAUCCUUCCAAGAUAUCCUUACAAGUAGUCAGUGUCCAGCCACAGUAUCACUAUGUCACAUUGAUAUCAGGGCAUUUGAGGAAAAAUGGGUCCUUAGAAAGCUUUUUGCCCCCCUCCAUCUAGAGACUAAUGGUAUGCUCUACCCUGCAGAGACUAGGCCCAGACAGAAGGAUAUGCCACAGCAGGAGACAGGAUCCAGAAUGAGAAUAGACAAAAGACAUUUUCAAAAGUCCAGGUUCACAGCUUGACAGAAGCCUUCACACAGAAAGAGCCAUUGCACAUUGGACAGAUGAUCCCAGAAUGGAAGUUUCCAGAGGAAAUAACAGUCAAUAAACAGAAAA